rnacentral:rRNA from 1 species
GCCUACGGGAGGCAGCAGUGGGGAAUUUUGGACAAUGGGGGAAACCCUGAUCCAGCCAUUCCGCGUGAGUGAAGAAGGCCUUCGGGUUGUAAAGCUCUUUCAGGAGGGGAAGAAAAGUUGCCUGGCUAAUAUCCAGGCGACUCUUGACGGUACCUUCAAAGGAAGCACCGGCUAACUACGUGCCAGCAGCCGCGGUC